rnacentral:rRNA from 1 species
UGGGGAAUUUUGGACAAUGGGGGAAACCCUGAUCCAGCAAUGCCGCGUGCAGGAUGAAGGCCUUCGGGUUGUAAACUGCUUUUGUACGGAACGAAAAGUCUUGGGUUAAUACCCUGGGAUCAUGACGGUACCGUAAGAAUAAGCACCGGCUAACUACGUGCCAGCAGCCGCGGUAAUACGUAGGGUGCAAGCGUUAAUCGGAAUUACUGGGCGUAAAGCGUGCGCAGGCGGUUUUGUAAGACAGUGGUGAAAUCCCCGGGCUCAACCUGGGAACUGCCAUUGUGACUGCAAGGCUGGAGUGCGGCAGAGGGGGAUGGAAUUCCGGCGUGCAGCAGUGAAAUGCGUAGAUAUGCGGAGGAACACCGAUGGCGAAGGCAAUCCCCUGGGCCUGCACUGACGC